rnacentral:rRNA from 1 species
GGGAAUGGAAAGACCGGUACAAGCGGGGUAGGUGUACAAUAGGCAAAUCCGUUGUAUAAUCCGAAGACGUGAUGUGGAGCGAAAUAAAGUAGUGAAGCGUGUGAGCCAUGUGCCGAGAAAAGCUGCUAUUGUGUAAUGCGUGCCCGUACCGUAAACCGACACAGGUGGAUGAGGAGAGAAUCCUAAGGCCGGCGGAAGAAGCAUUGUUAAGGAAUUCGGCAAAAUGACCCCGUAACUUCGGGAGAAGGGGUGCCUGCGAGAGCAGGCCGCAGAGAAUUGGCUCAAGCAACUGUUUAGCAAAAACACAGGUCUAUGCGAGACCGAAAGGUGAAGUAUAUGGGCUGACGCCUGCCCGGUGCUGGGAGGUUAAGAGGAGAGGUUAGCUUCGGCGAAGCUUUGAAUUUAAGCCCCAGUAAACGGCGGCCGUAACAAUAACGGUCCUAAGGUAGCGAAAUUCCUUGUCGGGUAAGUUCCGACCCGCACGAAAGGCGUAAUGAUUUGAGCACUGUCUCGACAAUGCAUCCGGUGAGAUUGAAGAACCAGUGAAGAUGCUGGUUACCCGCGCCAGGACGGAAAGACCCCAUGGAGCUUUACUCCAGUUUGAUACUGGGAUUCGGUACUGCAUGUACAGGAUAGGUGGGAGACGAAGAAGGAUGGACGCCAGUCUGUCCGGAGUCGCUGUUGGGAUACCACCCCUGUAGUACUGGGUUUCUAUCCAGUUGCCAUGAACUGGCAAUGGGACAAUGUCAGGCGGGGAGUUUGACUGGGGCGGUCGCCUCCGAAAGGGUAUCGGAGGCGCUCAAAGGUUCCCUCAGAAUGGUUGGAAACCAUUUGAAGAGUGCAAAGGCAGAAGGGAGCUUGACUGCGACACCGACGGGUGGAGCAGGUACGAAAGUAGGACUUAGUGAUCCGGUGGUAUAAAGUGGGAUUGCCAUCGCUCAACGGAUAAAAGCUACCCUGGGAUAACAGGCUUAUCACUCCCAAGAGUUCACAUCGACGGAGUGGUUUGGCACCUCGAUGUCGGCUCAUCGCAUCCUGGGGCUGUAGCAGGUCCCAAGGGUUGGGCUGUUCGCCCAUUAAAGCGGUACGCGAGCUGGGUUCAGAACGUCGUGAGACAGUUCGGUCCCUAUCCGGCGCGGGCGGAGGAUAUUUGAGAGGAGCUGUCCUUAGUACGAGAGGACCGGGAUGGACGGACCACUGGUGUAUCUGUUGUCGACCAACGGCAUGGCAGAGUAGCCAAGUCUGGAAGGGAUAAACGCUGAAGGCAUCUAAGCGUGAAGCCCCCCUCAAGAUGAGAUAUCCCUCCUUCGGGAGUAAGACCCCUUGAAGACUACAAGGUAGAUAGGGCAGAGGUGGAAGCAUGGCAACAUGUGGAGCUGACUGUUACUAAUAGGUCGAGGGCC